rnacentral:rRNA from 1 species
UACGUAGGGGGCGAGCGUUGUCCGGAUUUACUGGGCGUAAAGAGUGCGUAGGUGGUUUUACAAGUCAGAUGUGAAAUGCCGCAGCUUAACUGCGGAGCUGCAUCUGAAACUGUAGGACUAGAGUACAGGAGGGGAAAGCGGAAUUCCUAGUGGAGCGGUGAAAUGCGUAGAGAUUAGGAGGAACACCGGUGGCGAAGGCGGCUUUCUGGACUGCAACUGACACUGAUGCACGAAAGCGUGGGUAGCAAACAGGAUUAGAUACC